rnacentral:rRNA from 1 species
UACGUAGGGUGCGAGCGUUGUCCGGAAUUAUUGGGCGUAAAGAGCUCGUAGGCGGUUUGUUGCGUCGGCGGUGAAAACUUGGGGCUUAACCCCGAGCCUGCGGUCGAUACGGGCAGACUUGAGUUCGGCAGGGGAGACUGGAAUUCCUGGUGUAGCAGUGAAAUGCGUAGAUAUCAGGAGGAAUACCGAUGGCGAAGGCAGGUCGCUGGGCUGACACUGACGCUCAUGCACGAAAGCGUGGGGAGCAAACAGG